GAAUAUUGGACAAUGGGGGGAACCCUGAUCCAGCCAUGCCGCGUGUGUGAAGGAGGCCUUCUGGUUGUGCAGCACGUUACGCGAGGAGGAGGAGCUCUUGGUUAAGACUCACGAUGCUUGGACGUUACUCGCAGACUAAGCACCGGCCAGCCAUGUGCCAGAAGCCGCGGUAAAACAGAGGGGGAAAGCGGUAAUCGGAUUUCCUGGGCGUAAGGCGCGCGUAGGUGGCAAAUUAAGUCAAAUGUGAAAUCCCCUAGCUUGACUUGGGAAUUGCAUUCGAUACUGGUUGUCUAGAGUAUGGGAGAGGAUGGGAGAAUUCCAGGUGUAGCGGUGAAAUGCGUAGAGAUCUAGAGGAAUACCGAUGGCGAAGGCAGCCAUCUGGCCUAAUACUGACACUGAGGUGCGAAAGCAUGGGGAGCAAACA
rnacentral:rRNA from 1 species